UCGUGACUCUCAUUUAUUUUUCACACCUACUAGAUUAUUGUUGUAGGAGUUUCUUUUUUUUGUUCAUUACAUUUCUUCAUAUAAUUUAUUGAUAGUUAUUAUUACGUCCAUCCAAUUAGCAGAAAGUCUACUUAGAAACUUUGGUUUUUGGUUGGAAGAAGUUUGAUGGAAAAUUAACUUUGAUUACCUCACGCAUCCACGCUUUAUUCCACGACUAUUUCAUCAAUAAGAAAGUCUUCUUAAAACUAUUGAUUUAUGUCUGGAAGAAGUUCUUAAGAGAGUAUUACAUUGACUAUCCUACGCAUCCACCCUUC